rnacentral:rRNA from 1 species
UACGUAGGGGGCUAGCGUUGUUCGGAAUUACUGGGCGUAAAGCGCGCGCAGGCGGUCCUUCAAGUCAGGGGUGAAAGCCCAGAGCUCAACUCUGGAACUGCCCUUGAGACUAGAGGACUAGGGUACGGGAGAGGUGAGUGGAAUUCCGAGUGUAGAGGUGAAAUUCGUAGAUAUUCGGAAGAACACCAGUGGCGAAGGCGGCUCACUGGCCCGUUACCGACGCUCAGGCGCGACAGCGUGGGGAGCAAACAGG